GAGGAAAAGUUAGUAGUUAAUACCUGCUAGCCGUGACGUUAACAACAGAAGAAGCACCGGCUAACUCCGUGCCAGCAGCCGCGGUAAUACGGAGGGUGCGAGCGUUAAUCGGAAUUACUGGGCGUAAAGCGCACGCAGGCGGUUUGUUAAGCUAGAUGUGAAAGCCCCGGGCUCAACCUGGGAUGGUCAUUUAGAACUGGCAGACUAGAGUCUUGGAGAGGGGAGUGGAAUUCCAGGUGUAGCGGUGAAAUGCGUAAAUAUCUGGAGGAACAUCAGUGGCGAAGGCGACUCCCUGGCCAAAGACUGACGCUCAUGUGCGAAAGUGUGGGUAGCGAACAGGAUUAGAUACCCUGGUAGUCCACACCGUAAACGCUGUCUACUAGCUGUGUGUGUCUUUAAGACGUGCGUAGCGAAGCUAACGCGCUAAGUAGACCGCCUGGGGAGUACGGCCGCAAGGUUAAAACUCAAAUGAAUUGACGGAAAG
rnacentral:rRNA from 1 species